rnacentral:rRNA from 1 species
AGAGUUUGAUCCUGGCUCAGGAUGAACGCUAGCGGGAGGCUUAACACAUGCAAGUCGAGGGGCAGCAUGGAGUAGCAAUACUCUGAUGGCGACCGGCAGACGGGUGAGUAACGCGUAUGCAACCUACCCUGUACUGGGGCAUAACCCGGAGAAAUUCGGACUAAUACCCCAUAGUAAUAUCGAGAGGCAUCUUGAGAUAUUUAAAGUUCCGGCGGUACGGGAUGGGCAUGCGUAACAUUAGCUAGUUGGUAGGGUAAUGGCCUACCAAGGCUACGAUGUUUAGGGGUCCUGAGAGGGUGAUCCCCCACACUGGUACUGAGACACGGACCAGACUCCUACGGGAGGCAGCAGUGAGGAAUAUUGGUCAAUGGGCGCAAGCCUGAACCAGCCAUCCCGCGUGCAGGAAGACGGCGCUAUGCGUUGUAAACUGCUUUUCCAGGGGAAGAAAACCCGCUACGAGUAGCGGCUUGCCGGUACCCUGGGAAUAAGCAUCGGCUAACUCCGUGCCAGCAGCCGCGGUAAUACGGAGGAUGCGAGCGUUAUCCGGAUUUAUUGGGUUUAAAGGGUGCGUAGGCGGAUUAAUAAGUCAGUGGUGAAAACCUGCAGCUUAACUGUAGAACUGCCAUUGAUACUGUUAGUCUUGAGUACGGUCAAGGUAGGCGGAAUGUGUAAUGUAGCGGUGAAAUGCUUAGAUAUUACACAGAACACCGAUUGCGAAGGCAGCUUACUGGGCCAUUACUGACGCUGAUGCACGAAAGCGUGGGGAGCAAACAGGAUUAGAUACCCUAGUAGUCC